CGCUUGCGCGCAGGGAUCCGGCCCGGGCCCAGCGCGCGGCGGAACGAUUGCGGGUGACUAGCAUGCAAAUACCCAUGCUCUGACCUCCUGCCCCUCUUCUGACAUGGCCCACCGCGGUGGGGAGAGGGACUUCCAGACUUCAGCGCGGCGCAUGGGCACCUCGCUGCUCUUCCAGCUUUCUGUGCACGAGCGGGAGCUGGACCUGGUGUUUCUGGAUCAUAGCUAUGCCAAGCCGUGGAGUGCCCACCCAGAUGCCAGUAGUGCCCGGCCCACCCGCAUGCUCUUUGUUACUCCCAGGAGGCAGCAUGAAAGUACCAUCGAAUCAGAUGUCCCAAUAGACGUGGAGACAGUCACAUCAACCCCUGUGCCACUUUAUGACAAUCAGAAGGCACGCAGCGUGAUGAAUGAGUGUGAACGGCAUGUCAUCUUUGCCAGGACCGAUGCAGAUGCCCCUCCCCCACCAGAAGACUGGGAGGAGCAUGUCAACAGGACUGGCUGGACAAUGGCCCAGAACAAGCUAUUCAACAAGAUCCUCAAAGCCCUGCAGUCUGACCGGCUUGCCCGCUUGGCCAACGAAGGGGCUUGUAAUGAGCCAGUGCUGCGCCGUGUUGCUGUGGACAAGUGUGCGAGGAGAGUGCGGCAGGCUCUGGCAAGCGUGAGCUGGGACACCAAGCUGAUCCAGUGGCUGCACACCACCCUGGUGGAGACCUUGAGUCUCCCCAUGCUGGCUGCCUACUUGGAUGCUUUGCAGACACUGAAAGGGAAGAUCCCUACCUUGAUUGACCGGAUGCUCGUGUCAUCCAACACAAAGACCGGGGCUGCAGGAGCUGAAGCCUUGUCCCUCCUACUGAAGAGGCCCUGGGACCCUGCUGUGGGGGUGCUUUCUCAUAACAAACCAAGCAAACUCCCUGGCUCUCCUCUCAUUCUCAUUGCCUCCUCCGGGCCCUCCAGCUCCGUGUUCCCCACCUCACGCCGCCACCGCUUCUGGCAGUCUCAGCUGUCCUGCUUAGGCAAGGUCAUCCCUGUCGCCACGCACCUGCUGAACAAUGGUAGUGGAGUAGGAGUUCUGCAGUGUCUGGAGCACAUGAUUGGGACAGUGAGAAGCAAAGUGCUGGAGAUUCACAGCCAUUUCCCCCACAAACCCAUUAUCCUGAUUGGCUGGAAUACAGGAGCUUUGGUGGCCUGUCAUGUGUCGGUGAUGGAAUACGUCACUGCAGUUGUCUGCCUUGGGUUUCCUCUGCUUACCGUGGAUGGCCCCAGAGGGGAUGUGGAUGAUCCCCUCUUGGACAUGAAGACUCCAGUCCUCUUUAUCAUUGGUCAGAAUUCCCUGCAGUGUCACCCUGAAGCCAUGGAGGACUUCCGGGAGAAGAUUCGGGCUGAGAACAGCUUGGUGGUGGUUGGGGGAGCUGAUGAUAAUCUCAGAAUAAGCAAAGCAAAGAAAAAAACGGAAGGGUUGACUCAGAGCAUGGUGGACAGAUGUAUUCAGGAUGAGAUUGUGGACUUCCUGACUGGAGUACUCACUCGUGCUGAGGGGCAUGUGGGCUCUGAGCCUCGGGAUCAGGAUGCUGAGAAGAAGAAGAAGCCCCGGGAUGUGGCCCGCAGAGACCUGGCCUUUGAGGUCUCUGAGCGGGGCAGUCGACCUGCGUCACCAGCUGCCAAGCUGCCUGCCUCACCCUCGGGCUCGGAGGAUCUCUCCAGUGUGUCCAGCAGCCCCACCUCCAGUCCCAAGACCAAAGUGACCACAGUGGCCUCUGCCCAGAAGUCCAGUCAGAUCGGAAGCACUCAGCUGCUGAAGAGACACAUGCAGCGGACAGAGGCUGUGCUGACCCACAAACAAGCCCAAGCGCAGUUUGCUGCCUUUCUGAAACAAAAUAUGCUGGUGAGGAAAGCUCUUCCUCCCGGCUCCUCCUCCUGUCUCUUUGUCCCCAUUUCAUCAGAACAAACGGAGGAAGCCGAGAAAGAGGAUCUCAGGGUCCAGCUGAAGCGGCACCAUCCCUCCAGUCCUCUUCCUGGUAGUAAGACCUCCAAGCGACCGAAGAUCAAAGUGUCCCUUAUCUCCCAAGGGGACACAGCUGGAGGGCCCUGUACUCCUUCCCAAGGAGGAACUCCAGAAGCUGCAGGAGGAAAGCCCGUCACCAUGACACUGGGGCAAGCUUCCGCAGGGGCCAAGGAGCUCACAGGGCUUCUCACCACAACCAAGUCAAGUGCUUCUGAAGGGGGAGUCUCAGCCAGCCCAGUGUCCUCAGUGGUCUCCAGCAGCACCACGCCCAGUGCCUUGCACACACUCCAGAGCCGCCUGGUGGCCACCUCUCCUGGCAGCUCCCUCCCAGGGGCCACAUCAGCCAGCAGCCUCCUCCAAGGCCUCAGCUUCAGCUUGCAGGAUAUCAGCAGCAAGACCCCUGCCCUCCCAGCAAACCCCUCCCCUGGACCAGCCCCACAGGCCACCAGUGUGAAGUUGCCCACCCCCAUGCAGAGCCUGGGUGCCAUCACCACGGGCACCAGCACCAUUGUCCGUACCAUUCCUGUGGCCACCACUCUCUCCUCCUUGGGUACCACUCCUGGUGGGAAGCCCACAGCCAUCCACCAGCUGCUGACCAAUGGGGGCCUCGCUAAGUUGGCAAGCAGCCUCCCUGGCCUGGCUCAGAUCUCUAACCAAGCAUCAGGCUUGAAGGUCCCCACCACCAUCACUUUGACGCUACGUGGCCAACCCAGCCGAAUCACCACGCUGAGCCCCAUGGGCUCAGGAGCUGCCCCAUCAGAGGAGUCCAUCUCCCAGGCGCUGCCCUCCAGCUCACAGCGCCUGCCUCCAGCACCCUGAAGAUGCCAUGGAUAUGUCCUCCUUUACCAGGUGAGGAAACUGAGGCACAGAGAAGUCACACAGCAGGAAGUAGCAGAAGCAGGACUGAACCCAGGCAGUCUGAUGCCAGUGUCUGUUCCUCUACUCUGCACUGUGCUGGGGUUCUGAGAUGGGAGACGAGAAGUGGAGAUUAGCACAGGAGCCAGGUGGGGAAUUGGCCCAGGUCACUGGUGGGAAGAGCUGCUCCUGUCCAGGGCCACCAACAUUCUGGGCUGAUGAGGUUUGGGGGCAGCCUACCUGGAUUUCCCCCAAGAAGCUGCCUCCCUGAUUACUACCCAGGCAUUCAACUCAGUGGCUCAUGGGCAAGUGAUGUCCAGCCCAGGCUUCUAGGAUUUGGCUCCCUGGCCCAAACCCUGCUCCCCCACAACCGUUGCUUAUGUGGGAGGGAAACCAGACAGCUCUGCACAGGACCUGUGGCUGAGACGUGGCGGUGAGGUCAGGGACCUAAGUUUAAGUUAGACAGCCCGUCAUCAGGUGGUCACCAGCUAGUCAUCAUGCGUAUAUGUGGCAGCUCUGCGGCAGAUGAGGAAAUGGAGGCCCAGUGAAGCCUAUUCGUCUGGUGUCACCAGUGUGGCAGCUACUGUUUUGGUCUACCUGGCAGAGACACUUCCUGUGAGCUAACAGGCCUGAGCCUCGGGAACACAGGUAAGCACCGGGCCUGAGAUCAGAUUCUCUUUCCUGAAAAAUCUGUCCUUACCCUGAGACCCCUCCCUGGGAGGGAAGGCAGCAGAGCUGAGCCAGAUGGCAGUGGUAUGCUGGUAAAUGCUGGAGUGCUGGCUUGGGGAGGGUACAAAUCCUCUCACUUUGGCCUAGUUUAAGCUACCAGCCUGAUGUCGUUGAAUGCAGGGUUGGGAAGAGAGGAGCCCGUGGGAGCCGGCCCAGGGCAGUGCCCCGGAGAGGGGCACAGGGCCACUGCCCCCAUAACCUGGCUGUUCAGCUCUCUCUGCAGUCCUGUGAGCUGCGCAGGUGCUUUCCUGACUGGGUGGGAGUUCGUUUCUGUUGUUUGCAAGUAAAGGGCCUGAGAAUCCUCCCUGAACCUGUGGGAAAGUCGGUCUCGGGGUUCUUGAUCUUUCCUCCUCACCCCCUGCUCCCUCAGGGAGGGGUGACCAGGCCAGGCAGGGGGUAGGAAUCACGAACACCAAGCCAAGAACCCGACAGUCAGGAUCGUUGUGGAAGGGGUGGAGGCAGGCAGGCAGCCCGCCCCUCCAUGCCUGGGAACCCCUUCCUGCUCUCCCUCCAGCAGCCCCUUCCCUCACAAACAGGGCUGGGCAGUGGCUCCGCUUGCUGGUUGCAGGUGGUAUUGGCUCUCCAGGAGGGACCAGGAGCCCAGGGGAGCUGGGACAGUCCUCUGGGGACCAGGAUGUGUUCAGGGGGAAGGUCCUUGCCCUUCGCCAGUCACUAGACCCUAUCUGCAUUUCGCUCUGGUCACAGUGCAGAACCUGGAAGGGACCGCACUCGUUUCACAGAUGUGCAGAUGUGACCCAGGGUGGGGCAAAGGCUUUUGAUACCUUAAGAGUUAGGCGAGGUGGUGGAGUGGGGGUUGGGGGGGCACCUGUGCCCUUAUCCCAUCUAGCCCACUACUACCUGCCUCUGCAGCCUAGAAACUAAGGGACACUGCACAGGUGACUCUGCAGUGACCCAACUCUGCCCUGCCCUCCUGUCUGGAAGCCCUGUUGAGUCUUCCAGCAGGACAUUCUUGGAGUCAUUUGCUUAGGAAGCCAGCCUGGCUGGUAUGACAACGGAACGAAAGCUGCCGCCUAGCGUCUGAGCGGCUGCAGGGCUCUGGCUUGAGUGUGGAAACGCCCACAUCCACGAGAGACUGGGUGGCCAACCUGGGCUUGGGGACAAGCAGGGCUGUAGUGGAUGGGCGGGUAUACCCUGACCAAGGGGCAGCAGCGACCACUGAGCUCCAGGCAGUGACCCCCUCGUGUCCAGAAAUUCUGAUUUUUAAAGAGAAGCCCAAUACCCAAAUUUUUAUGUGAAAUCUCUUGAUUUUUAAAUGCUGGCAACUAGUUACAAAAACAUUUUUAAAAAUUACAUGGGUCAGACUAAACACAACUUCAGGCCACCAUCUGCAGCCUCUGGUCUUGAGCCUAAUGGAAAUCUCUCACUUAACGGAGGAGUCUUCCCAGCCACCCCUUCUAGUGCCUCCCUCCCACUGCCAGCCCGCUGGCUGUGCCCACCCUGAGCCCACUCCCCUGCAGCCCCCUCCUAUGCUACCCUACCCUCAGUGGGCUGAGCGACCCCUGUGCUUCCAGACCGCAGGGCUCCCCUCUUUGAAGAUCACACCAGGAGAACAGACCCACCCACCUCGCUGUGUCCUUGCUCACUCGACCACGGACCUUGUGUCGUCGUCCCCAGUCCUUGCAGACAGCAGCCCUUGCCCCAAACCGCUGCUGUCCUAUUUACGCUGAUUUCUUUUAAUUUUUAAAAAUUUAAUUUUUUUUUGGCUGGGCGGCAUGUAGGAUCUUAGUUCCCCACCAAGGAUCAAACCCACGUCCCCUGCAGUGGAAGCCCAGUAGUAACCACUGGACCGCCGGGGAAGUCCCUUACUCUGAUUUCAAGGCUUCCACAUCCCGGCUUCUGCAGUCCUCCUCUGCUCCAGUGAUUUCUCUGCCACCCUCACACCACUCACUCCCAUGAAAUCAUCCAAUAACUUAAGCUAUUUCAGUUGCCCCUUAUUCUUCCCAGCCCACCUCCUUGGGUGCCCGCGGUCCUCUGAACCCACAGGGACCUGCAUCCUGGGUCCCCCACUCCCUCCCGUCGUCACCUCCCCCUACCAUGGUGGUCCCUCUCUUGCUCACCAGCCUCUCCCACACAACUGCCACUCAGCAGCAUCCAGCCUCCCUACUCCAGCUUCACAGGGUGAUAGGGAGAAGGCUGCCAGGCUCACCCAAACUCCUGCUGCCAACCUCAGGAGUGAACUCGGGGUUCCAGAAACCGCGGGGCCCUGCACGCUGCCACUGCGCUCCAGCUAUCAGAGGUCUCCAGUUCCCCCAUCUCCCUCACAUCACACCCCAAUCCUCGGUGACCCUCCUCACUUCCCACUCACUGGAAAACAAGAGACCUGUGUGCAAACACGCUGCCUCUGAGCCUCUGUGAGUGUGCUCCCUGCCCCUCUGCCCUUUGCCCCCAACAUCUAGUCCCACCCAGAGGCCAGAGGACUCUUGUUAAAGCCCAGACCAGGACCUUCCUCUGCCCCCAGCUCACUCUGAGACCUGGAAGGCUCUAGACAUGCAGCGCCAGGCACCUCUUGAGCCCUGCUGCUCCCCAGGCUCACACUGCUCCAACCUCGUAGCCUUCCAGAUCCUCAGACACGUGCCUGCCCUGCCCUGGCCUUGAUGCACCUCGUCCCCACUGCUCUGCCCCCCAGAAGCCUCUGUCUCCUCCUUCAGCCAUUGCUCAGAUGCCACCUUCUACCCCUCUGGCCACUGUGUUUAAAACUUGACACCCUGGAAAUGGACAGUGGUGAUGGCGGCCCAGCACUGUGAAUGUGCUCAGUGCCACUGAAUUGUACACUUCAAAAUGGUUAAAGUGGUAAAGGUUAUGCUAAGUUAUGUUUUGCCACAACAAACUGCACAACCCACUCCCAGCACUAUUUUUCUCCCCAACUUCGGAUAUUGUAUUGUAUUCACUUUUUAAUUUACUCUAUAGGGGAUGUCAGCUCCAUGAAGGCAGAAACUUAAAGGUUUUGUGCACUGAAGUGUCCACCCAGCACCUAAAACAGUGCCUGGCACCCAGUGGAAAUAGACACUCAGUGUUUGUCAAACAGCCUCUCCUUAGACUGUCACCAGGAAAAGGGCCAAGACUGUGGGGACGUCCCUUUCAGAGUUGCCUCCACUCACCACUGCCAACAGCUCAAAACACCACAGAUGGUUUGGAAGGGGACCCUGAAACACGGUGUAUGCCUCAAAAGCAGGUGCUGGCCUGAGGUGCUGGAAGGAGAGGAAGAGGAAGAGAAGGGGAGAGGAGGGAGAGAACAUGAGACACUGGCAGGGAAGAGCAGGUAGCAGGAGGGCGUCUGAAUGGACCAGGUGGGGGUGAGUCCUCGCUGUCCCUCUGUAGCGUGUCCUCUGCACAUGGUCCCCAGCUGCUGCAGGUGGCCCUCUAAAUGCAUACAGGGCUCCCCUGACUCUGCCCUCCUCCCCUCUCAGCUCCACCAGGCCCCGCUAAUGCCACACCUGCCACUUUUCCUUCCUCUGUUCCAGCCCUCUCUCCACAACUUUGAAGGAAACCCUAAAUCACCUUGGGGUCAAGUCAGAGGAGGCUGGGGCUGCAGCCGUGGUAUUCUGGGAAAUCCUGUCUCCAAAACCCACCCUACAACCAGGCAGAAAGUUUUUGUAGCAGCUCAGCUGAGUUGGGAAGGCUGCAGAGGCUCCCAUGUUUGUGGGCCCCCAAAGCACCAUGCGGGUUGCUUGGACCGUAGACCCUCCAGGAAUAAUCAAGAAGAAAGCAAGUUCCUGUUGGUGAAGCAUCCAACCUUUCCCUGAGCAUCAGCAGAGUCCUAACUGCCCCCAAUUAGGCCACAUGCUUCUCUCACCUGCACGGUUCCUGGUGACCCUUCAGGUCUCACCUGACAACUCACUUCCUCGGGUGGCCCUUCCCAGCCCCGAACCAAGCACAGCACUUCUCUCUAGUCAACCUCAGCUACUCACACUAUCCGGAUGGGCCAUCCAGACUGAGAUGCUUGUGGCUUGUCUGGCCUCCUGACAGCUUGGUGAGGCCACCCAGCACCCCCACACAAUAGGUGGCAAAUAAGCCAGAAUGAGAGUCUCACAACAACCUGAUGGAGGGCAGGGAGGAGCCAAGGGCUCGAUUUUACUAAGGGCGUCCUGAGAGCUGAUGGCUGCAAAGACAACACCCCUGCCACUGCAAAAGCAUAGCCACUGGCAGCCAUUCUGGCUGGAAGUAGGUGUGAGACCAAGAGCCCAUGUCUUCUGGACACUUUUUCUUUUCUUUUUUUUCCCUUUCCUUUCUCCUUUUUGUUAAUCUUGCAUGAACUCUCCUGGUUUGCUCCAGCUCAGGAAAUCCUUACCGCUGGGAACCUGCAAGAAUCCCCCUCCAUCCCAGACAGAAAAAGAAUCUCCUUAAGAACGAGAAACCCGCGCCAGCGUGACCUGCGAGGCCAGUGGUACCCAGAAACGUGAGCUGUAGAACCUCUGGCCACUGGACAGUGUCCCCUUGGGCAACUGUUCACAAGGGUGCCAUGUGGGUUCUUGGCUCUGUGUUCCUGGUCCUUUCAUGUAUGUUCUCUCAUUGAGUCCCAGAGGAAUCCCAUUUUAAAGGCUGGAGAGGGGCGGGGGGCAGGUUGCACAGAAGAAGCCAGAGAGAUUAAGUUACUUGUCUACCUGGGUGACCAGAUUCAAAACAAGGUCUGUCUGACCACCAGUCCAGGGGCCUGGCCUCACCACUACUGUGGCUGCUGUAUCCCCAACAUUUGUGAAGCCUCAAUGGAGAGUCCAAAUAAGCCUGGAAAAGAAACCGAGCCUAACACUUGUCAGGAAAGAGUUGGGCCUGGGCCAUCCUUGCAGGCUACCGACUUGUAGUGCUAACGACUGACCCCCGCCUCUGCCCCCAACUGAUGCCUUUCCAACUAGGUCCUUGGGCGACUCUGUGCCUCAGUCUUCCCUUCUGUGAAAUGGGGAGAGAAAGACACUGGCGUCCUUUGCUAAUUAUCCGUGAAUCCCAAAGCCUUCCGGGUCAUUGGCGCACCUGUGCACCGCCCCCCCCCCCCCGCCCCCACUUUUCUCCUUUCCCUUCCUGCCUUCUCUGCUCUGCUCUCACUUCCUCUCUCCCUUCUUCGCUGAAGGGAAAGUGCUCAGCUCCAAAGAACUCUCUCCAUCUGUUCCUGUGAUGGGGCUUCUCACUGGAGCCCUCCUGCAAAUUUGCUACACGUCAAAGUCGCUGUCCUCAGGCCUCAGAGAAGUAAGGUGGUGGGACCAGGGCCUACUGGAAUCACCCGGGGAGCAUUUAAAAGACAUGACGAUUAUCUCCCCACCCCACCCCCACCUGAGUUUGAUUUAAGGACCUGCAAGGGGCAUCAGGGUUUAAAGCUCCCCAGGGGAUCUGAGAGGGCAGCCAGGUUGAGACCCACCAGGCCAGAGUGGCCCUAGUACCUCCUGCUCGGUUCUGGAGUUGGUGAGCUCUGCCUGGGCCACUCUCUCCUGGGAAAAUCUCCUGGAGUUGAGCGCUUGGGUUACCUGGAAAGGAGGUCACCAACCCCAGAUGGGAAAGGUAGAGCUGCCCUAGAGUCACAAAGGGAAACACUCUAUCUCUGUGUGCCACUCAGUCCCUGAGUGAACCCAGCCUUCCAUUCUCUCCCACACAGGCCUGGCAGGGCCUUCUGGGCCCCUACUCCUGCAGCCUUGGAUGAGGGAGGCGGGAGAGUCUUCGUCCUCCUUCCCCAGCCUGUCCUGUCCCAGGCUGGCCUAUCCCUCUCUUCCCCAAUCAUUGGUAGAUCAGGGUUCUGGGUAAAUCUUCAUUUGGAAAAAGAAUUCUACUAUGAGAAAUAAGUUUGAAACCCCCUGCUGUAGGUGCUGGGUGAGUCCUCCUGCCUCCCCGCUCCCAGCUCUCACACCGCGCAAUGCAGGGCCUGAGACAGCGGAGCUGGGCCCCUUUCCUGGCUCUGCAGGGGGGAAGGGGCUUAUGGACCAGCCAUCCCAGUCUUCCAGCCGCAGAGGCAGGAGAAACCCACCUGCUCCUGAGUGACCGCUGCUGCCCAUGUGCUCCCCUCUGAGCACAAAGCCGCAGAUGCCCUCAGAUGUGACUGAGGUGGAUUCAAUUACAAAAAGAAAACCUCUGCUCUCCAAAAGGCAUGCCAUUCCAACAUCACCUUUUCCAUUCAGGAAGCAACAAUGGUGAUUAUUAUCUGUUUAAUCUAUCUGGAAUCUAUAAGGUAUGAGGUAGGGAUUUAACCCUGUUUCCCCAUGGGUGGGUGGUCCCAGUACUGACUGAAUGAUCUCCUCCCCCAAUAAUUAAAAAUGCUACUUUUCCCACAAUCUACAGGCUUGUAAGGAAGACUUUGGGGGUUGGUUUUGGACUUUCUAUCCUGCUUGAUUCACUGUGGAAUGCUCGAUCCAUGCAGUCGAAUUUCUGUAGCUUUGUAACACAACUUACUAUCCAGAGCACAAGUACCCCAUCAUCACUCCUCUUAAAAAAAUUCCAUCUGAAGUUUAUGAUAAUACUGUUACAUUCCCUAAAAAAAAGAGAGAGAAAAAGAAAAGAAAACCACGGGGGUUUUGAUUGAAUUGCACUUAAAUUUAGAAAUUAUUUUAAAAAUAAUAACACCUUUCUGAUAUUGCAUCCUGCUCUGCAGGACCACGUGUCCCUACAGAUUCAGGUCUCCCUCUGCAGUGCUCAGAGGUUCCUGCUCACGGGCCCUGUGUGUCCCUGUCGAGCUUAUUCCCGAGUUCUGUGCAGCUGCACAAUACUGUGAGAGAAGCCCUGAUGAUGACAGCAGGACUUGGCUCAUAGCCCCCUGCCAUUUCCUCAUCUCGGGGGCCCUUGUGACCCAGCCCCUCACGGGCAGCGAGGGGGCAUGGCCAGCUGCUGGGCAACAGGAUGGCUCAGGCCCUUGCUGUGUUAGGAAUCUGUUUCUGUUCAACUCUACGGCUCUGUGGAAGUCAAGCUUAACCAUGGAUCCUAAAACUGUGGUGGUGAAGACAUUAACUUCAGUCACUAGCUAGGAGGCUCUGGGAGUGAAGCCCACCUGUUCUCAAGCCACCCCCUCCCUCUCUUUCCACACUACGUACUCCACCAACUGAAAUCAGUCUCUGCUAGGCCCUGGACUAGGCACUUCUGUACACUGGUUCACUGCAUCUUCCCAGCACCCAGUGGGUAUUAUUUCCCCCCACUUUAACACAUACAAGACCUGAGUCUCUGAGAGGUUCAAUAACUUGUUUGAGGUCACACAGCUUACUAGUGGCAAAGCUGGGAUUUGAAACCAGUGCAGUCUGCCUGUCCCAAGACACUGAACCUUGAGAUCUAGAGUUUUUUAAUGAGAGCAGGGAGACCCCAAGUUCCUUCUCUGUGCUCAGAGGGUGCCCAUUUGCCCAUUCUCCCUGGGGGAUCUGCAGGCACCCAUCACAGCAUUCCCAUUGAUCUGCUGAUAAGAACCUGGACCUGCCCUACCAGAUGAGCUGAAAGCAGAUGAGAGUGGGGCAGGAGGAGGGAUGGGGAGGGGGCUCUUACUCCACAUAGGUGCUUCUGUGCUUUAGUUUCCCAGUCUAUAAGGUGGGUGUGUUACACCCCAUGGGCCCAAUGUUCUAAGCAGAACACAGCGAGAAACGAGGCUCCCCCCACAAACCACACCUGACUGUGUGCGUAUGUGUGUGCACAUCCUUUGUGAGAUCUGAGGUCAGCCUGUCCUGCUCACUCUGCACUGUGUCUCAGUGCCCAGAGUCCUGCCCAGCAGGGAGCAGAUGCUCCACGAACUUAAGCCCCAGUGAACUUCAUGGAUGCAAUGUGAGCUACCCGACCUCAGAUACUGCUGAUUCUGAGAGCAGCUUAGCUGUGACUAGUUCAAGGCCUGCCCGCCUGCCCCGCCUCAUUCACCCUGGUGUGAUGGAAAGGAAGCGACACUUCCUUUCAUGAAAAGUCACCCACUGGGAGCACCGUGUCAAUUACGACAAUAAUGGUAACAGCAGCCUCAAUAACAACCAGCAGACACGGCCACACCUCCUCGCCUGAGGUUGUUGGCUUAAGUUUCUCUUAGCUUGAGCUGGAGCUGAAACAAAGACACCCUUUGAAGUGGUCAGUCCACUCUGUGGUCCAGGAGCUGGCUGCCUGGUGGAGUCUCCAUGUGGAGCUCGCUCCAGGGUGGUGUGGGGAGGGGGGACCUUCCAAGGACUGUGUUCCAGCCAGCACUGAGGACAGACGGGCCACCUGGACAUGGCAGCCCAGAGAGUACAGGGUGCAGCUCCCGACCCAGCCCUCCCUCAGGGUCUCAGCUGAGGGAAGAGGGGACAGGGUCUGGGAGCAGCUGGGGCCAAGGUGACAACCUUGAGUGUAGAAAGCUGGGGGCAUGGGGGCACCAAGUGUGAGGUGACCGACUCCCAAGCCCCACUGGGAUUUGGCCCCUCAUUAGCCAGCUCUGGGAUAUCCUAAAAGACCCUAUUCCAGGAUGGGGCUGAAUCCCCACUGUCCCUCCCCUCCAAGUCUGGGUGAUAGUUGAUGAUAACAGUAACAGCUCCACCUAUGGACUGUUUCCUGUGUCCCCACGAACUACACUUCGUGCACCCAUCCCACCUAUGGAGAAACCAGGCUCGGCGGCAGCUUGUACCAGACAUGGGCCAACAGUAGAGGCACGGCCUGGACAGAGGAAGGCUGCCUGACCUCUGCCCGGGGCACUCCUCUGCCACUCACCUUGUCCACUCGCCUCCUAGAGCCCCCCCAGGGUGGCUCUCCCACCCAGCAAAGCAACCUCCAAGAGGGAGUGUGGGCCACCCCAGGCCAGUUUCCCACAAGGAAAACAGGAGACCAUUGCGGAGGAGAGAGGGGCGGGGUCUUAGAGGCCUGAUUCGUCCCCACUGUCAGACCAGGGCUGGUCUCUGUGCCUCAGUUUCUCAGACUGUAAAUCAAAGAAGGAGGGGCUGAUUCUCUGACGUCCUUUUCUACCUCUGCCAUUCCAAGUUGGAGGCCCCAAACGCGCUUGUAUGGACUCUGGAACUCCAUUCCGGUGGCCCAACCCACUAGCCGCCAUCUCCCAUUCCUCCUCUGCCCUAGCACUGGCCUGUGGACACACAGACCCCACGUCCCCCAACAGCGGUGCUCGGGAGGGGACAAGAAGCCCCUGUUAUCCUCUCCUCUGCCCGCGGACCCCUCCUCGCUAGCUGACGACCCCGCAAACAAAAGGACCCUGGGUCUGGCCAGCGCGGUGCCGCCGGACCCGCACCCUGAGCCUUCGCGGGUCCCGCACCCGGCGAUCCCCACCCUAUCCCGGCGUCCGCGGGGCUGGAGGACCGGAGCCCGGCCUGGUCCCUGAACCCUGCGCAGGGGCCGAGAUGAGGCAGCCGGGUUGUGGCCCGCGGCUCAGACGGAGCACGAAGCCAAACACUCCUCUUCACACGCUCGCAGCCCGAGCGCCUCCGCUCCUCACCCCCGGGGCCGCCACCCCGUGCCUUCCGGAGACCCGAGGGGAGAAGAGAGAGACAGGAAAAAAGACCAGAGCAAAGACGAAAGCCACUUCUUCCCUGCCCGAGGUGGGGUGGGGCGGCAGGGUGAGCAGAGGAGGGUGGACAGGAGACAAGAAGAGGAGGGACCAGAGGAGAAAAGAAAAAAGGGAAGAGAAAAGAGAGAAAGGGCAGGGGGCGAGGAGCCGGUAACCGCCGAAGGAGCAGCACACCCCUCGGCUGAAAGAGGGACAGUUGAUUCUUCAAAAUGCAUUGAGCAAGUUCUUCAAAACCCGCGCAGAGUCACUUUCAGGAAACGGCGGCCGCAGUGGAAAGCGCCCCGCGCACCCAGCGGACCCCGGUGCCCCUGCCCGGCGGCGCCGGCGGGUUCUGAGAACCGCCGGGACGUGACGGCGGGGGGGCGGGGGGGCCGCAGGCAGAGAACUGCUGCGGACAGCUGUCACAACAAAUUAGCUGAGACCAGCUCGAGAUUGAAAACCACAGCAGGAAGUGGGAUGACAGAACCGUACAGGACUUGGUAAAUUUCAGUCAAGAGACGACGAGAAGAGUUUCGAGAUAAACGCCCGGGAAGCCCCU